rnacentral:rRNA from 1 species
CAAACGCCGGGUUAAGGCGCCCGAUGCGGACGCUCAUGAGAGCCCAUGAAAGGUGUUGGUUGCUAUAGACAGCAGGACGGUGGCCAUGGAAGUCGGAAUCCGCUAAGGAGUGUGUAACAACUCACCUGCCGAAGCAACUAGCCCUGAAAAUGGAUGGCGCUCCAGCGUCGAGCCUAUACCCGGCCGCUGGUGGCAUUUAGCCCGAUGCCCCAGCGAGUAGGAGGGUCGCGGCGGUGCACGUUGAAGGUGUCAGGCGCGAGCCUGCCUGGAGUCGCCGCCGGUGCAGAUCUUGGUGGUAGUAGCAAAUACUCAAGUGAGACACCUUGAGGACCGAAGUGGAGAAGGGUUCCAUGUGAACAGCAGUUGAACAUGGGUCAGUCGGCCCUAAGGAAUGGGAUAAUUCCGUUCCGAUCGGCCGGGCGUUUUUUACCGAACUGCCCGCAAGACCGAAAGGGAAUCCGGUUAAUAUUCCGGAACCAGGCUACAGGGAUCGGUUCCGCGCCGCUUUUCCGCUUUCGGGUUUUGCGCCUCUAACCGGGCGCAGGCCUUGGCGGAGAGCGGUCGGGGCCCGUGGCGGUAACGCAAACAGGCUCGGAGACUGGCGGUGGGGGUCCCGGGAAGAGUUUUCUUUUCUUUGUAAGGGACGGACUCCAUGGAAUCGGCUUGCCCGGAGAUAUGGACGUUGUUCCCGGAAAGCACCGCGGCUCUUGCGGUGUCCGGUCCACUUCCACCGUCCCGUGAAAAUCCGAGUCUGCGACAUGAUCUUUGUGCCUGACCGUACCCAUAUC